rnacentral:rRNA from 1 species
AUUGAACGCUGGCGGCAGGCCUAACACAUGCAAGUCGAACGAGCGGCGGACGGGUGAGUAAUGUAUGGGGAACUGCCUGAUGGAGGGGGAUAACUACUGGAAACGGUAGCUAAUACCGCAUACCAUCAGAUGAACCCAUAUGGGAUUAGCUAGUAGGUAGGGUAACGGCUUACCUAGGCGACGAUCCCUAGCUGGUCUGAGAGGAUGACCAGCCACACUGGGACUGAGACACGGUCCAGACUCCUACGGGAGGCAGCAGUGGGGAAUAUUGCACAAUGGGCGCAAGCCUGAUGCAGCCAUGCCGCGUGUAUGAAGAAGGCCUUCGGGUUGUAAAGUACUUUCAGCGGGGAGGCGUUACCCGCAGAAGAAGCACCGGCUAACUCCGUGCCAGCAGCCGCGGUAAUUC